rnacentral:tRNA from 1 species
GGAGAAUUACUCAAGUGGCUUAAGAGGCCACCUUGGAAAGGUGGUAGGUCGUGUAAGCGGUGCGUGGGUUCGAAUCCCAUGUUCUCCU